UCAGCAGCCGCGGUAAUACGUAGGGUGCGAGCGUUAAUCGGAAUUACUGGGCGUAAAGCGUGCGCAGGCGGCUUUGCAAGUCAGACGUGAAAGCCCCGGGCUUAACCUGGGAAUGGCGUUUGAAACUACGGAGCUGGAGUGUGGCAGAGGGGGGUAGAAUUCCACGUGUAGCAGUGAAAUGCGUAGAUAUGUGGAGGAAUACCGAUGGCGAAGGCAGCCCCCUGGGCCAACACUGACGCUCAUGCACGAAAGCGUGGGGAGCAAACAGGAUUAGAUACCCUGGUAGUCCACGCCCUAAACUAUGUCAACUAGUUGUUGGGGGAGUUAAAUCCCUUAGUAACGCAGCUAACGCGUGAAGUUGACCGCCUGGGGAGUACGGUCGCAAGAUUAAAACUCAAAGGAAUUGACGG
rnacentral:rRNA from 1 species